rnacentral:rRNA from 1 species
UACGGAGGGUGCAAGCGUUAUCCGGAUUCACUGGGUUUAAAGGAUGCGUAGGUGGGUUGGUAAGUCAGUGGUGAAAUCUCCGGGCUUAACCUGGAAACUGCCAUUGAUACUAUCAAUCUUGAAUACCUUGGAGGUGAGCGGAAUAUGUCAUGUAGCGGUGAAAUGCUUAGAUAUGACAUAGAACACCAAUUGCGAAGGCAGCUCACUACACGGUCAUUGACACUGAGGCACGAAAGCGUGGGGAUCAAACAGG